UAUCUCGGUCAGCAUUUCGU
rnacentral:misc_RNA from 1 species